rnacentral:rRNA from 1 species
AUUGAACGCUGGCGGCAGGACUAACACAUGCAAGUCGAGCGGAUGAAGAGAGCUUGCUCUCUGAUUCAGCGGCGGACGGGUGAGUAAUGCCUAGGAAUCUGCCUGGUAGUGGGGGACAACGUUUCGAAAGGAACGCUAGUACCGCAUACGUCCUACGGGAGAAAGCAGGGGACCUUCGGGCCUUGCGCUAUCAGAUGAGCCUAGGUCGGAUUAGCUAGUAGGUGAGGUAAAGGCUCACCUAGGCGACGAUCCGUAACUGGUCUGAGAGGAUGAUCAGUCACACUGGAACUGAGACACGGUCCAGACUCCUACGGGAGGCAGCAGUGGGGAAUAUUGGACAAUGGGCGAAAGCCUGAUCCAGCCAUGCCGCGUGUGUGAAGAAGGUCUUCGGAUUGUAAAGCACUUUAAGUUGGGAGGAAGGGCAGUAAGUUACUACCUUGCUGUUUUGACGUUACCAACAGAAUAAGCACCGGCUAACUUCGUGCCAGCCGCCGCCGUAAAAC